rnacentral:rRNA from 1 species
ACCUGCCCUUAACUCUGGGAUAAGCCUGGGAAACUGGGUCUAAUACCGGAUAUGACUCCUCAUCGCAUGGUGGGGGGUGGAAAGCUUUAUUGUGGUUUUGGAUGGACUCGCGGCCUAUCAGCUUGUUGGUGAGGUAAUGGCUCACCAAGGCGACGACGGGUAGCCGGCCUGAGAGGGUGACCGGCCACACUGGGACUGAGACACGGCCCAAACUCCUACGGGAGGCAGCAGUGGGGAAUAUUGCACAAUGGGCGAAAGCCUGAUGCAGCGACGCCGCGUGAGGGAUGACGGCCUUCGGGUUGUAAACCUCUUUCAGUAGGGAAGAAGCGAAAGUGACGGUACCUGCAGAAGAAGCGCCGGCUAACUACGUGCCAGCAGCCGCGGUAAUACGUAGGGCGCAAGCGUUAUCCGGAAUUAUUGGGCGUAAAGAGCUCGUAGGCGGUUUGUCGCGUCUGCCGUGAAAGUCCGGGGCUCAACUCCGGAUCUGCGGUGGGUACGGGCAGACUAGAGUGAUGUAGGGGAGACUGGAAUUCCUGGUGUAGCGGUGAAAUGCGCAGAUAUCAGGAGGAACACCGAUGGCGAAGGCAGGUCUCUGGGCAUUAACUGACGCUGAGGAGCGAAAGCAUGGGG